UGUUGGAUAUUGCUUGGAGAUUUGCCCUUUUUAUAAGAAAUCAAAAACAGUCUGUAAUCUGGACGUGUACGAACGUUGCGUGAACAUUUUUCUGUUUAAAUUGGGCGUCCAAUCUCUGUAAGCUGGGUGUUGCCUGUACUUUAUAUUAGUCCAAUGUUUGCCAGUUCCUGGUUGAUUCCCUAUUUGAUGUGAAUCCAUGAACAAAUAAGUUUAUGAACAAGUUCCUGUUUGCUCCCUGUUUGAUUCAAGUCUGAAAGAUUCAUAGAUGCUACACUUCAGUUAUAAAUGCACAAAAAGUUAGGACUCAUAAUAUUAUGAAAGAAAUAUGUUCCAUCCGCCCCUACCCCUUGUAAAUAUAUAUUUAAAUGUGCAUGCCCACUUUGUCGGAACACCGCCCAAUGCUGGAAGACAAUCCGCCGUCCGACGGUGUUGCACAGUUCGCCGCAACUUUGUCGGCUGGUUCUUCACUUGAGACCAUCAGCCAUCGCCUAGACCGACUUCGCUGAAGGCUCAAGCAAAGCACCUCUUCGAUCUGUACGAUUUGCCAUCUUGUUUCCUUUAUCAAACUAUCUGCAGCAAGUAGAAAUCUGAAUUGAUGCAAGCAAGUAGUAACCAUUAUGGCGGCACGGUAAACUUCUAAUGUUCCAUCCAGAAUAUCUUCCAGCAAUAUAUGUGAACAGAAAAAUGGUGACCUUUUGAAACAAUUAUAUGGUUCUAUAUAUCCAAAGGAAUUGACGCCAAUUAUUAUCCUGGAAAAGAGUGUUACCUGCCAUAGUGCUUCUUGCUGUACAAAUAUCCGAAUGUUAUAUUUUACACAUGUGACGCAAGUCUUAUUCGUUUGCAAAAAUAUGGUUGUACAAGAUGGAUGCGAACUCUGAAAACAAAAUUUGGGACAACUGCUAGCAUUCAACGAGAACGAAUAUGAAGACAACAUACCUGCCGAUGUACUAGAAUUCCUCAGUUGUAUCAAGAAAACCAAAAUUAAAACUGCUAUGUAAGAUCUCCAGAUAUUUGUGCAGAUUGAUUAUGUAAGCUACUCUGGAAACUUGGUGCUAACUUCCAUUUUCUCUCAACAGGACAUGUGCUAUUUAUGAAAAAUGAGCUUCUCUACUACUGGCUGGCAGCCCGUGAUGGUGGUUUUAGAUAUGAAGCUAAGGAAAGCGUGCCUCAUAAUUCAUUGGAUGGCCAAUUAGAUAUUGGUGGCUGUAAAUGACAUGAGUAUUUAGCUUUAAUAAAAUCUACUCCCUCCGUCCCAUAA